rfam:Hordeum vulgare subsp. vulgare, WGS project CAJW01000000 data, contig: morex_contig_1327315
GUUGUACUCCCUCCGUCCGGAAAUACUAAUACUUGUCUUAGAAAUGAAUAAAAUGGUUGUAUCUAUAACUAAAAUAAGUCUAGAUACAUCCAUUUCUAGCACAAGUAUUUCCGGACGGAGGGAGUAUGUU